UGGGUGGGGCGGGCGAGG
rnacentral:miRNA from 1 species